CUAAGAAUAGUCCGCAAUGGGGGAAACCCUGACGGUGCGACGCCGCGUGAACGAUGAAGGCCUGACGGUUGUAAAGUUCUUUUCUCGGUGAAGAAUAAGGACAGGAGUGGAACGCCUGUUCGAUGACGUUAAUCGAGGAAUAAGCCCCGGCUAAUUACGUGCCAGCAGCCGCGGUAAUACGUAUGGGGCGAGCGUUGUUCGGAAUUAUUGGGCGUAAAGGGCACGUAGGCGGUUGCGUAAGCUUGGUGUGAAAGGCUUCGGCUCAACCGGAGUUGUGCGCUGGGAACUGCGCGACUAGAGUUCUGGAGGGGAAGCUGGAAUUCCUGGUGUAGGGGUGAAAUCUGUAGAUAUCAGGAAGAACACCGGUGGCGAAGGCGAGCUUCUGGCCAGAAACUGACGCUGAGGUGCGAAAGCGUGGGGAGCGAACAGGAUUAGAUACCCCCGUAGUCC
rnacentral:rRNA from 1 species